rnacentral:rRNA from 1 species
UACGAAGGGGGCUAGCGUUGCUCGGAAUCACUGGGCGUAAAGGGCGUGUAGGCGGGAGGCCAAGUCUGCGGUGAAAUCGCUCGGCUCAACUGGGCGGGGUCCGUGGAAACUGGUCACCUGGAGUACUGCAGGGGAGACUGGAAUUCCUGGUGUAGCGGUGGAAUGCGCAGAUAUCAGGAGGAACACCGGUGGCGAAGGCGGUCUCCUGGGCCGAGGGCCGACGCUGAGGCGCGAGAGCGUGGGGAGCGAACCGG